UGAUCAACAAGAUCAACACACACACACACACAACCACAGCUUUGCUCUCCAUCCAUAUAUAUAUAUAUAUAUAUAUAUAUAUAUAUAU